CUUCCGUAUGCUGUGGGGUGUGGCCCUGAAAAGUUAAAAAAAAAAAAGUGUGCUUUCAUGUCUAAUGUCCAAUGUACAGCUAGAAUGCAGAGGGUCAUCAGACAGCUAUGAGUUGAUUUUCUCCAGAAAUUGCAAAGAAAGCAAGAAUGCACUUGAGUGAACAGAACUUGAAAAGGGCUGAGGUGCUCUGUCUAUCAGGGGGGUACGAUCAUCAUCAAAUUCUUGGAACAAGCUCCUGGGACAGGAUCUGGUAAGAACAAGUCAAAAGUCCAGCUAUUCUGCAAGAAAAUGAUGUCAAACAGUUGAGUUGCCUCCACUUUUGAUGGGAAGAAACACGAAUGAGAGCAAACUAGUGGCAAAUUCUCAUUCUUCUCCACUUUUUUUUUUAAAGAAAGAAAAUAAAUAUAAAAUAUCAAGUUAAGCA
rnacentral:lncRNA from 1 species